rnacentral:rRNA from 1 species
UACGUAGUACUGCGGAGGGAUCAUUACACAAUAAAAUAUGAAGGCUGUACGCGGCUGUGCUCUCGGGCCAGUUUUGCGGAGGCUGAAUUAUUUAUUACCCUUGUCUUUUGCGCACUUGUUGUUUCCUGGGCGGGUUCGCCCGCCACCAGGACCACAUCAUAAACCUUUUUUAUGCAGUUGCAAUCAGCGUCAGUAUAACAAAUGUAAAUCAUUUACAACUUUCAACAACGGAUCUCUUGGUUCUGGCAUCGAUGAAGAACGCAGCGAAAUGCGAUACGUAGUGUGAAUUGCAGAAUUCAGUGAAUCAUCGAAUCUUUGAACGCACAUUGCGCCCUUUGGUAUUCCAAAGGGCAUGCCUGUUCGAGCGUCAUUUGUACCCUCAAGCUUUGCUUGGUGUUGGGCGUUUUUUGUCUUUGGUUGCCAAAGACUCGCCUUAAAAGGAUUGGCAGCCGGCCUACUGGUUUCGCAGCGCAGCACAUUUUUGCGCUUGCAAUCAGCAAAAGAGGACGGCAAUCCAUCAAGACUCCUUCUCACGUUUGACCUCGGAUCAGGUAGGGAUACCCGCUGAACUUAAGCAUAUCAAA